UGGGGAAUAUUGCACAAUGGGCGCAAGCCUGAUGCAGCCAUGCCGCGUGUGUGAAGAAGGCCUUCGGGUUGUAAAGCACUUUCAGCGAGGAGGAAGGGUAGUGUGUUAAUAGCACAUUGCAUUGACGUUACUCGCAGAAGAAGCACCGGCUAACUCCGUGCCAGCAGCCGCGGUAAUACGGAGGGUGCAAGUGUUAAUCGGAAUUACUGGGCGUAAAGCGCACGCAGGCGGUUUGUUAAGUCAGAUGUGAAAUCCCCGCGCUUAACGUGGGAACUGCAUUUGAAACUGGCAAGCUAGAGUCUUGUAGAGGGGGGUAGAAUUCCAGGUGUAGCGGUGAAAUGCGUAGAGAUCUGGAGGAAUACCGGUGGCGAAGGCGGCCCCCUGGACAAAGACUGACACUGAGGUGCGAAAGCGUGGGGAGCAAACA
rnacentral:rRNA from 1 species